CAGCAGCCACGGUAACACAGAGGGUGCGAGCGUUAAUCGGAUUUACUGGGCGUAAAGCGUGCGUAGGCGGCUAAUUGAGUCGGAUGUGAAAUCCCCGAGCUUAACUUGGGAAUUGCAUUCGAUACUGGUUAGCUAGAGUGUGGGAGAGGAUGGUAGAAUUCCAGGUGUAGCGGUGAAAUGCGUAGAGAUCUGGAGGAAUACCGAUGGCGAAGGCAGCCAUCUGGCCUAACACUGACGCUGAGGUACGAAAGCAUGGGGAGCAAACAGGAUUAGAUACCCCUGUAGUCCCUGUCUCUUAUAC
rnacentral:rRNA from 1 species